GCAUGUGCACUGUGUGUGUGUGUAUAUAUAUAUAUAUAUAUAUAUCCAAGUACAAAAUGAGAUUCUGCUUAUCCUCAAGUGUCUGCUAUGUACAUAGGCUAAGGUAGAAGAAAGGAAGCAUUUCCUGUCUUACAGAAAGGCAUUGAAUUAAGAGUGGUCACUGUGAUCGUGUAAAUGUAAUUGCACACACGUCGGUCUGCUGUAGUAUUGGUGAGUGCACUUCUGUGGUCAGUAACUGGCUUAAAAUUUUGAGCAUGAAAAGAUCCAUGUUGCUGUUAAAAGAAAUAGUUUCUAUAUUUAAAAUGACAUUAAGGAGAUGAAUAUUCCACGAGGGGGGGAGGAGGGGAGAGGAACAUCACUGACAGCUUCCUGGCAAAGCAUUUAAGACACUGGAAAACAGACACCGCGCUGAUAUGUGGAUAAACCUAGCAAGGACGUGGUGUAAUGGAGGGAAGAAUUUGGGUGGAGCUGCCUGCUUCCCUUCCAACUGCUUGAACAAAGAAAGAAAGAAAGGAAGAAUAAUGGUAUUAGUAGUGAGUUAAAUGGAAAGCUGAAAACGUGAAUCUUAGUGUCUUACAACUGAGGUUAGCAUGAUGUUGCAAAAGCACUUGCCCACCACCAAGGGUGAGGUGUCAGGGAGCACUGUUCUAUACCUGAUGGUGGAUGCCUGAGUAUUUUCUUUUUGACCCUGCUUAAGCUGUGCAAGCAGAAGAUGCACAUGAAGUGGUAAAUUUUCGUAGUAACUCUGAAGUCACCCAUAACCCACAGAAGCGCCAGGCAGUGACUGGGUCGUAGGGAAAUUUCAGGGCUUUUGUAACCACAGAUACUGCAGAUGUAAGUACACGUGGUGCUACAACACUGCAAGCCUGUCAUUCUGAUACGCUUACUGGAAGUAGUGAGGAGCUCCACUGCCUAUUUAAAAUCUGCAUUUCGGAGACUGACUCCCUCCGUUUCAGUGUCAUAAAGGUGUCAGCCAACAUCCCUGAAGCCGUGCUAAGAUUUCUAUGGAAGAGAAGACUCCAAAGUCCUGCUUUCAGGCUGCUGCACUGUCCUGGCUUUUGCAUCCUGGCUCUUCUCUCCAUCGGCGUGACCCUGCAUCCUGUUGGUGUAACUGUGUGUAUAGGACUCCUGUGGAUUUCCUUCAGUUCUUAUCAGCUGAGGAUCUUCCUCCCCGCCUCUGACUCAGGUACCGAGAUGCCUAAAGAUGGAUCUUUAAGCCUGCUUUUGCACAGAUGGUCAGAUCCUGAGCUACAGCUAAAGUGCAGGAUGGCACACAGAUGCGAAAUACUGGGCAGGAACAACCCGUAA
rnacentral:lncRNA from 7 species